rnacentral:rRNA from 1 species
CCCAGACUCCUACGGGAGGCAGCAGUCGGGAAUAUUGCACAAUGGAGGAAACUCUGAUGCAGUGACGCCGCGUGAAGGAAGAAGGCUUUCGGGUUGUAAACUUCUUUUAAGAGGGAAGAGCAGAAGACGGUACCUCUUGAAUAAGCCACGGCUAACUACGUGCCAGCAGCCGCGGUAAUACGUAGGUGGCAAGCGUUAUCCGGAUUUACUGGGUGUAAAGGGAGCGUAGACGGUGAAGCAAGUCUGAAGUGAAAGGCGGGGGCUCAACCCCCGGACUGCUCUGGAAACUGUACGGCUGGAGUGCAGGAGAGGUAAGUGGAAUUCCUAGUGUAGCGGUGAAAUGCGUAGAUAUUAGGAGGAACACCAGUGGCGAAGGCGGCUUACUGGACUGUAACUGACGUUGAGGCUCGAAAGCGUGGGGAGCAAACAGGAUUAGAUACCCCGGUA